UUUUUUUUUUUUUUUUUUAAAGAAGGCUGAGUCAGAGCAAAAAGCUUGACAAUCAGCAUGUAUACAUUUGUCCCAGCCCUAAGUGCACAAUGUGGGAGGCCUUGAGCAUUGGGAGUAUGAGACACCAUAUGUUAUGCGGACUUUUUUUUGUUUGUACUAGAAUAGCAAUUAAGGUACUGCAGCUGAAACCAUCUUAAUCUUAAGUUAAAUAAGCACUUUUACCACCCCAUGCCGACAUCCACUUUUUUAGGCAUCCUAUUUCUUCUCCAAGAAGCUGAUGGUGAAUACUGUAACUUGAUAUUAACAUUGUCCAUUAAAUAAUUUUGUGGGAAGAUACUCGAUCUUAAUUGUUAACCAGUCAAUGGAAGUCUGGAACUAAGCAGAGGUAGUUACAUAUGAGAAUGGUAACUUGUUUUUUUUUAUAGAACUAGACUAGCUAAAUGAAGAAAAACAAGACACUAUACAUCUAUGCCAUGUUUUGUAGGCAUUAUGGCAUUCAUAUAUGAAAUAUUUACAAUUUGCUUUUCUAAUUUGAGGUUAUAGUUUGUGUCAAAGGUUGUUGGCCAUUUGUCAUCAAGCUUGCCUCGUUUUUGUUGAUUCCUCUGGCAAUACUUACAUG
rnacentral:misc_RNA from 1 species